GUACAGCUAGAGACACAGGUCAGUACAGCUAGAGACACAGGUCAGUACAGCUAGAGACACAGGUCAGUAAAGCUAGAGACACAGGUCAGUACAGCUAGAGACACAGGUCAGUAAAGCUAGAGACACAGGUCAGUACAGCUAGAGACACAGGUCAGUAAAGCUAGAGACACAGGUCAGUACAGCUAGAGACACAGGUCAGUAAAGCUAGAGACACAGGUCAGUACAGCUAGAGACACAGGUCAGUACAGCUAGAGACACAGGUCAGUACAGCUAGAGACACAGGUCAGUAAAGCUAGAGACACAGGUCAGUACAGCUAGAGACACAGGUCAGUACAGCUAGAGACACAGGUCAGUACAGCUAGAGACACAGGUCAGUACAGCUAGAGACACAGGUCAGUAAAGCUAGAGACACAGGUCAGUACAGCUAGAGACACAGGUCAGUACAGCUAGAGACACAGGUCAGUAAAGCUAGAGACACAGGUCAGUACAGCUAGAGACACAGGUCAGUACAGCUAGAGACACAGGUCAGUACAGCUAGAGACACAGGUCAGUACAGCUAGAGACACAGGUCAGUACAGCUAGAGACACAGGUCAGUACAGCUAGAGACACAGGUCAGUAAAGCUAGAGACACAGGUCAGUACAGCUAGAGACACAGGUCAGUACAGCUAGAGACACAGGUCAGUAAAGCUAGAGACACAGGUCAGUACAGCUAGAGACACAGGUCAGUACAGCUAGAGACACAGGUCAGUACAGCUAGAGACACAGGUCAGUACAGCUAGAGACACAGGUCAGUACAGCUAGAGACACAGGUCAGUAAAGCUAGAGACACAGGUCAGUACAGCUAGAGACACAGGUCAGUACAGCUAGAGACACAGGUCAGUAAAGCUAGAGACACAGGUCAGUACAGCUAGAGACACAGGUCAGUACAGCUAGAGACACAGGUCAGUACAACUAGAGACACAGGUCAGUACAGCUAGAGACACAGGUCAGUACAGCUAGAGACACAGGUCAGUACAGCUAGAGACACAGGUCAGUACAGCUAGAGACACAGGUCAGUAAAGCUAGAGACACAGGUCAGUACAGCUAGAGACACAGGUCAGUACAGCUAGAGACACAGGUCAGUACAGCUAGAGACACAGGUCAGUACAGCUAGAGACACAGGUCAGUAAAGCUAGAGACACAGGUCAGUACAGCUAGAGACACAGGUCAGUAAAGCUAGAGACA